rnacentral:ribozyme from 1 species
UGCCCAGCUACUCCUAUCCCUACCUCCACGCGGUACCGGCCGGAAACUAUGAGCAACCUUAGGGAAGAUCGGGUAACCAACCCCGGUGGGAACUUUGGUCGUAGGCUGACAGGGAAGG